rnacentral:rRNA from 1 species
CCUACGGGAGGCAGCAGUGAGGAAUAUUGGUCAAUGGACGAGAGUCUGAACCAGCCAAGUAGCGUGAAGGAUGACUGCCCUAUGGGUUGUAAACUUCUUUUAUAUGGGAAUAAAACAGGGUAUGCAUACCCUCUUGUAUGUACCAUAUGAAUAAGGAUCGGCUAACUCCGUGCCAGCAGCCGCGGUAAUACGGAGGAUCCGAGCGUUAUCCGGAUUUAUUGGGUUUAAAGGGAGCGUAGGUGGAUUGUUAAGUCAGUUGUGAAAGUUUGCGGCUCAACCGUAAAAUUGCAGUUGAAGCUGGCAGUCUUGAGUACAGGAGAGGUGGGCGGAAUUCGUGGUGUAGCGGUGAAAUGCUUAGAUAGCACGAAGAACUCCGAUUGCGAAGGCAGCUCACUGGACUGCAACUGACACUGAUGCUCGAAAGUGUGGGUAGCAAACAGGAUUAGAUACCCCUGUAGUC